GCCAGCCACCGUCGCGAUUUGGAGGCCUCCGACCAGAUCUUCCUCCCAACCACGACUUGGGUUGCGCUCCCCCGUCGAGCGAGCCCCACCACGGCUGCUGGCGUGCUGGCCGUCGAGCGAGCCCCACCACGGCGACGAGCCGACGACCACCACCUUCUCCUUCCCCUCCUCCGGCCAGAUCCACCCGGUGCCCCUCCGACGCUUGACGUUCAUAUCCAUACCGAGCAGGCAUUGUGGGCUUGGAAAAUUAGUGCGACUACCUACAGGCCGGUGUGGUGGAACUUGGAUCAUGUAGAACUCCAGCCAUGCAAUUUUGUUGUCCGUGUCAUGGAUUUUUUAUAGUUUGUUUGUUUCUUCCAGCUCUCCUUGCUACCUACAAAUUUCUGUCUGUGUUAUAAAACUCCAGUGCUACUACGAUGUGCUAGUGGAAUACAUGCAUGGCUGACA